CCUGGCCCUGCAGUCUCAGGCUGGCCCCCGAGGGAGAGUCACAAGCGCAGCUUCCCUUGAGGGUUCAGGUUGCUGCUCAGCCUGCCCUGGCUGCAAUACCAGGUCGGGCCCCUGGUGAGGGGUACCCCAGUGUGUAAUCCCCCUGCACACCUGGUCCUAGCCAUGCAUGGUGCUCUGACUAGAUGCUCCCAGCCUUUCAGCAAAGUGGCUUCCCAGGGUCCCACAGCUGGGUUUCCCCACAAGCUUCCUUCCCGAGAGUCUUAGGUCAGCAGGUUCCCAAAGCUGGGAAGACCCCUGGGGACAGGUUCAAGUGCUGCUUUUGGCUGGGACACAGCAGAAGUACAGUUGGUACUGGAAGCAGGCGCUGAGUUCCUAUGGAACAAUCCAGGUUACUUCAGUUUGGGGCUCUGCCAAGAAAGUGGGAGCUGCCCCCAAGUCUCCCCCCAGCCCUCACCACUCCCCUGAUAUCCUGUCUGAAUUCCUUGCUAUCUGCUGAGCUCUCAGGGUCAAGCUGUCUCCACCGUAAGCUGACCUCCAUCAUGACACCCUCCCCCGCUUCUGAUCGGCAGGGACUCUUCCACCUCUAAAAGGGAAGACGUUGGGUGGUAACUCCAUGCCGGGGGGUUGGGGUGGGGUCUGUAGGGGAACUCCAGGGCAUUGGAAUGAAGCCGCAGUUUGUUACACGCAGACUCUCACCAUUGCCCGGUGGCCAGCUGUCUCUAAUUGUCCGCAAGUCCCUACGAUCCAGUCUCCCAGACCUCCUGGAAUCAGGUCAUGCUCAGUGGGGACCCCCGUCCUCCCAUCCCAUCUCUUGGCGGUUUCCACUCACUCUCCCCACCCGCAGCCCCUUCUGGCCCCCUUUCUAUUCCUCCAUACCCCCUUUGCCUCUGGUCCUGUCCCCUCUCCCCCCCUUCUCCCUGCUUCCCUGCCUGCCUCCUUCUCUGCCCGGCUGCAGUUGGGUGAUAAUCUCCCUCAUUUAGCCUCCCGGCUGCUUCCCCGGCUCAUUGCCCAGCUGGUCCCUGGGGCCCGGCCCAGUUUCUUCCCCACCCCCACCCCCAUCCCUGCGCCCAAGCUCCCUCAGCCUUUCCCUGUUUCUCUCACCCAUUCCCUAGGGACCAGCUGCCCCCUCGGGGGCGGGAGUGGGGUGGGGAAGCAGGGCCGAGGGGAGCUGGCUAGGACCUGAGCUAGCUGUGAGCUAGUAGGAGGGGCUGCCAGCGACCCCGGAGUUUGGAGUGUGGGGAGGGGCUACGGUCCCGGCAGAAUGUGGGCCCCACUCCGGCUCCUCUGCCCUCCAGUUAUCCCCAUUUCUCAGAUGUGUUCACCGCCCAGUUCUCCCCGCCCUGAGAUUCGAAAUAAGCUUCCUGAAACUGAGAAAGAGCAGGUUAGCGAGAGAGGGAGGCAAAGGUCAGAGUGCAUCCGGUUAGGCAAGCCCGGGAAAAGGGUGGAGACAACAGGGAGGUCAGGAUGGAUUAGUCAGAGAUAUUGGGAAGAAACUUGGAAGUUUUACAUGAGCAAAAUGUCUCUCCAAAGGGAGACCCGAGACUCCGGUACAGAACCUGAAGGGUUUCCCAGGGAACCUCUUAACAGUCCAGGGACUCCCCCAAAGGAAGCCUUUUCUGUUCUUUCCUGUCGUUUGAGGGCUCCUGACUCCCCUGGCUGGCUGGCUAGCUUCAUAAACCACACAACCUUUGAACU